AUACGCUUCGGGUAUAGGUUCGAUUGCAAAUGCUUUAAUGGUUGACCAUUCUAAAAUUUUCCAAAUGUCUAGCGCAUUUAGAGGGAAAAGGGAUUAGAAUCAGUUUUGACUAAAAUGAUUAAACAACUAUGAAAGGACAAUCCAAAGUUCGACGAGGAUUGGUCGUUUGUGAGUAGUUGGCAGUAUAGUAUUGGAAAAUAUGGAAAUGUUUCCAUAUUGGAUGGACCAUAUCGACAUUAUUAUGAAUAGACUAGAUUCUAUUAAGAAUAAGUUGUCAUAUGGAAAAUAUGGAAAUGUAUCCAUAUUGGGAAUUGAAUAUUGAAAAAUCUAUGACUAGGUUAGAAACCUUUAUGCAAAAGGAUGUUCGAAGGAAUGUACUUUGAGUGAGAAACAUCAUAUCUAAGGAAUUGUCUUGUAACAAUCUCCGAUAGAGGAUUUUGUAAUGUCAUUGGCAACAGUCUUUGCGACUUUGGUGCAGUGACAUUACGAAAGGAUAGUUGCAGAAAAUGUUAGAAUCUAGCAUAUUCUAUAAGUAGCAAGAAUUUGAUAUUCCUUAAUUUAUGAAAAACGGAUUUGGAAUUCUGAAAUGAGAAGGAUUGGAAAUGUGUUCAAUGUGAUCUAUUUCACAAAGUAACAACCACAGGUAAACAUUGUGUGCAUACUAGGAGCAUAGGACAAAUGUUGGAAUUCAAGUAAGAAGUUGAUUACACGAAACGACAAAUAAUGAGUAAUCAAUAUGGUGAUAAAUAAAAGGCGUUUUAUUUAUACUCAAAGGUUUGAGGCCAUAUGGGAUUAGUGUUAUUCUUGUGUUUCACAUUUGCAUGUUUUGACUUCCAGAAUAAUUGAGUUUAUUAAGAAUAAUCGAAUUAUUCGAAAGGGCCACAGUUGUUCAUAUGUUGGAAGUAGAUAUGAAUGAAGACUGUCGUGAAUUGGUGUGUGGAUUGUCUAAAGAGCAUUAGACAUAAGCAAAUGUUUGCUGCAACGUUCAUGAGUGCUUAUGAAUGUGAUUUGAGCAUUAGAUUAAACCCACGCUCACUUGGAUCACUCCAUGAAUUGUAUCACAAGUGAUUGGUGAGACGAUAACAUCUUAUAUUCUUAAAACCGAGAUGUGUGAGUUGUAUCUUGCAAAUCGGUUGCACAUUGAUAAUAUGUAAAUGCACUAGUAACUUGGUGUUAUAAAACAUAUUGUUGUGUGUGAUUCCCUGUGUGAGUGCAAGCGAGCAUUGUAUCAAAGUUUAUCAAUUCCUUUUAUUCAAAGAAGGAUAAAGGCGAUAUCUUUCGGCCCCUCGAUGGUUUAGUGAUGACAAAUGUAAAUGCUCUGCCGGGCUAUGGCUAAUUUGAUUUGUUCAGUUAGUCAGUCGUCAUAAAUCGGGAAUCGAGAUAUAGUACAAAGAGAAUGAUUUGAAAUCACAUCUCAAAAGAUAUCUAGAAUGUAUGAAUAUAUGAUCCCUUAUCUAAGGACACGCGUAUCUGAUAGGAUCAGAGUUGACAGCGGCUUUGGAAAGCUACGAUUGCAGAUCAGGAUCUGAAGUCAUACGCAUAAUAGUUAUUAGACUUAUCCAAGUGGGAGACUGUUGGAUUAGUGUCUAAGUCCAUAACUAUUUUGGUAUGUACUUGACCCGAUGGUGCAUGGUCCUUUUGGGUUGCCUUCACCAAAGCAACUUGAUAGGAUGAAUUAUGGAGAGAAAGGAUUAAAUAUGAUUUAUUAAUAUAUUAUGGGAAUAAUAUAUUAAAGGAGAAAUCAUAUUGUUUAAUUAAUAUUAGUCAAUAAUUAAUUGGUAAUUAGUUUUGUGACUAAAAGAGAUUAAUUAAACUUAAGGGACUGGAAUUGUAAUUAUAAGAUAAUUGCAAUUUGGGCCAUGGAUUGCCUUUUAUUAUAAGGUGGACGAAUUCUAAUGGGGAAGCCCAUAUGAAGUCGUCCAAGGCUUUAAGAAAAGGGCUCCAUGGGUUGCUUAGGGCUUAAGCAACCAAAUUAGGGUUUCCUUGUUAGAUAACCCUAAUAGCCUUACUAUAUAAAGACCCCUUAUGCCUCAAAAACGUGGACAAGCAACCUUCUAGGGUUUCACACGUUUUUGGGCAGCCUCUAACCUCUCUCCUCUUCAUCCUCUUGCUUAUGGUGUUUGUGAACCAUUAGAGGAGUGACACUUGUGACUCUAAGCCUUCCAAAGUCAAUUCAAGGAGGAAUUGGGAUUGUUAUUGCUACAUAACAAUCAAGGUAAUAUCUUAAACCUAAUUAUAUGUUAAUAUUGAUUUCCAUAUGCUAGAAUUAGGGUUUAUAGUCUUGGAUUCAAAGCAUGUACAAUAGAGAAACCUAGAUCCAAGCAUUAGGGUUUGUAUGAGCACAUAGGAUGUCUUAUGACCAAAACCCAUCAGUGGUAUCAGAGCCUAGCUUGGUUUCAAUUGUAUUGAUGCAUUGUAUAACUGGAAAAUUCGUUUUUUGGGUUUCUGGAGGCUGGACUCGCCGAGUCCAUGGCUGAACUCGCCGAGUCCAAGGUGACUCGACGAGUCCAAGCCUGACUCGACGAGUCAACUCGUCAGAAGGAGGGUACUUCGGGAUUUCUUGCUGUUUUUGCUUAUGGAUAGUUACCUUAUCAUGUUAGAUCAAUAUUAAUCCGAUUAUAUGAUAUAUUUGACUAUAUUUUUGAUCUAAUUGAAGAUAUUUAUCAAUUAAUAAGAUAAUUGUUUCCUUAUGUGAUAAUUGAUUAAUUAUUUUGAUUAAAUUGAUAAAUUGUUUUGCAAGAAAUCAUUAAAUAAAUCAAAUAUGGAUAAUUAUGUGAUUAAAUGUUAAUUUAGAUUAUUUGUUAUUUGAUCCUUGUUGUUAUGAAAAGUUUCAUAUUUUCCCCUUUAGGUUUUAUAGUUUAAAUUUGAACCCAAAAGUUUUGUUGUUUUGAAAUUUAAAUAGUUGAAACCCUAAUGUUUUGAAAAAGGUUUCAAAACUUGCCCUCAAGUUUUGGAAUUUAAAUUUUGAUUAAAUAGUUUAAUUUUGAUGUAUAUUUAAAUUCUAAACCCUAAUGUGUUGAAAUGUUUCAAAACUUGCCCUCAAGUUUUGGAAUUUAAAAGUUGAUUAAAAGUUUAAUUAGGAAUGUUAAAUUCUAAAACUCUAGUAUUGUUUUGAAAAAGUUCAAAUCACACCCUUAUGGUUUUAUUAAUUAAUUAAGGUGUAUAAUUAAAAGAGGUUUAAUAAAUCCAUAAAAGUUUUGGUUUACAAUUUAAUUGAAUUAAAAGUAUAAUUGUUAAAUUUGACCACCUAGUAUUUUAAAAGUGUAAAAUACACCCUAUACUAUAUAUAACAUUAAAAGUCUAACAUUAUAUAUAUGUAUGAGUAAAAGUCAGUCUUACCGUUAGUAGGCCUCAUUCACGAAGCUGGUCUAUAAGGGGUGUUUAAGGAAAUUGCCUAUAAAAUGGCGAUUGAAUGGGUAUCCACUCUUACCCACCGCACUCUUGACUAGUGGAGGGUCGUUAGCCGAACGGGUAGGAUAGGACGAAACCUUCCAUUAUAAGUAUAAUGAAGUAUAAAAGUAACUAAAUGUUUUCAUAAAAUUCCCAAUCUUAGUUACUUAGGCAAAAGUGAAUUGAUGCAAUUCCAUGAAAUUACACUUUGUGCCCUUGCGAAGACGUUAGUGGAGCGUGUGUGGUUUACCGGCACACUAAAUGGUUCUAAGCAAAGGUAGCAAAGGGUGACUCAAUGUUUGUCAUAGUUCGGUGGAGCGUGUGUGGUUUACCGGCACAUCGAAUAGGUGACUGUAACAUGUGAGGGCACCAUGUAAGUUUGCAUGGUUAUUCACACCCGCUUUGUGAUCCUCGGCAUCCCAGUCACAAACUAGAGGGGCAUAUCGAGAUUUAAACAUGCCAUUGAAAUGUUCAAUGAAUCUCAAAGGAUCUAGGAGUUUUCAUAGAUUUAAAACUUAAAUUUCUUUUUCGUUUUUCAUGGUGGAAAUUAGUGAAUCGUCAUUCACUUACCUUCAAAUGUUCUGCAAUUUGGGUUACGGCAUCCCUCUCCCGAGUUGUAGAAUAUUGUGUUGGGUCCUAGCCUUAGUAUCUCAUUUGGGUGAUUUACUAAGGACUCAAUCAAUCAACUAACUUGAAUUCGUUUUCUCCCGUUUUGUAGAUGUCAAAGUUCGACAACUAUGGUCUUCCCAAAUCCCGUGGAACAAGCAUUCCACAUGAAGAUGAUAUUCCACGAUUCGAUCGAGGAACAAGAAAUCAUGCUUCACUUCCUCCACCUCCUCCAAUUAUUCUCCCUAACCCACAAGUUCAAAGGCUUGAAAAGUUCAAGAUCACUCAAGCCCUUUUGGCAAGUAAACAUAAAGAAGGAAAGUCGGUGUGUGCACACGUCCUAGGGAUGAAGUCACACAUUGAUAGGUUAAGAAUGUUGGGAUCCGUUGUCUGUGAGGAAAUGGCUGUUGAUUGGGUUCUUCAGUCACUUCCUAACUCAUAUAGUGAGUUCGUAAGAGAGUACUAUAUGAUGAACCGCGACGUGACCCUUAUAGAUCUCACCUAUAUGCUUAUUGCUGCUGAAUCAGCAAUGGUUUGGCGCAAUAGAAAAGCAAAGUUGAUUGGUGAAUCUGCCUUCAAGACCUCUAUGGAUAUAGACAAUGGCAACGAAAGACAUGCUAUGAUCGAAAAGUUUGAUCAUAAGAGAAAGGCAAUGUCUGAAGUAGUUCCAUGUCAUGUUCCAAAAGAGUCAAUUUGCUUUUAUUGCCAAGAGAAAGGGCAUUGGAGACGAAGCUGCCCCAUUUACCUAAGAGAUCUAAGAGAUGGGAGAGUCGAAACGUAUGGCUCUAAUAUAGGUAAAAUCCAUUAACUAACUCUUUUAAGCUUCUAUUCUAGAUUCUUAAUACAUAAUGUGAUAAGAUUACAAUUGAUGUUUUGUAGGAUCGAAGAAAAGAAAGGAAGCUUAAGGGAAGAAGUGAGCAGAAUCUAACCGUGAAGGAAUGGAUUUCGAUCGCAUUUCUCGAAGAUUAGAUUCUUGAGCUACUACUUAGAGUUAGAAUUAGAUUGCUAAGAAAGAUGUAUUAGCAUAGUUUUUCAAUGAAUUGCAUUGUAAGGACAAAUUUUUCCGCAAUAAAAUAAAUUUUGAUUUUAAAUUUUAUUUAUUUAUCCUUGCAAUGGCGUGUAUGAAAAAUUGAUGUUAAAAUGUUUCUAUUAUUAGCAAUAAUGGAUUUGGUUCUUAUUAUGUUAUUUAUGGAAAGUCGAGAAUUUACCAAAUAGGGAGAGUUUCUCAUCGCCCAAGUUUCAAUUGGACAGAAACUUGGAAUCAUGCAACUUGGUUGCACGAUGAAUGAGAAAUUUCAUAUUUGGAAAUUAGACUAAUUCAUUGACAAAGUGUCAAGUGAAGGACUAGGAGAUCGAGUACACAAAGUUGCGUGUUGAUCAAGUCCACCAUAAGAGUAACAAAGAUAUUCGUCAUGAUUUACUAAAGGUUUAGUAAAUAUGAUUAUACUUAUAAGAUUAAGUGUAAUUCUGAAUUGAUUGAAAAGGUUUAAAUCAAUAGCAGAACGAAUAAGAAGAAUCAAGUAGGCAGAAAGAUAAAAGUUUCUCCAUUCUAAGAAGAAGGGAGAGUACCUUUUAUGCUUUAUGAUAGGUCUUAAUGAUUAAGAACCAUAUCUCAAUUGAUCCUCUAAGUGAGUCUUAGUACAAUUGUAUGUCUAAGAAGAGGAAUCAAGAAUUGAAGAAAUGGUUAAAUCAAUAAGUCAAUCAUACUUCGUUCCAAUAACAAGUCUUAAAGUUAAGAUUGUGACAUUGAGUGAAAGGUAUUAAGAAGGUUUGUAACUUUCAUUAAAUGUGGAAAGUUGUGAUGUCUUGGAUAAGACAAAGACCAACUAGGACCAAUUUAUGAAGUGUUUUGAUAAAAGCUACACUAACUCUUGAAUAUUUGUUUGUCAAGAAAUGGUUAUUGACAAGAGAAUCUUAUAUGUCAAGGAGUCAGUGGGAGUCUUAAUGGUCUUGAAAGGUUUCAAGAACAAAUCAAAUAAACCUUAUCGAUCAUCACUAGCACACGAGUUGAGGUUUACAACCUAUCGUGUUGACAUUAUUUUGAUUCUGUGCCAAUCCAAUCGAGUUAAUUAUGCAUGUGAGUUCUAUGAGUUCUCAUUUUGAACGCAUAAAAGGCAAAGCACCUUAAUCAAUGAAAGGUACAUUGAUAGGAAAGGGUGAGCUGCUUAACUACUUGGAAGACAUGGUGGGCAGCUGUGCUACCAUAAGGCAAGAAAUCAAGAUUAAGAAAGUUCGGUCCAUAUGAGUUUGAAUUUGUCGUAAACUUUGGUUUUAACAAAUUCACAUGGAUAGGAACACAUACACCGUUUAAAUCUAAGUGUCAUAAGAUUUCCUCCUUCAUGAAAAUGAUUGUGAGGAAAUGCUUUCACUAAGAAAGAUUUUAAGAAGAUAGUGAUUGUAAAAUUGCAUUCUCGAAUUCAAUUAUGGUUACGGCAUCCCUUUCCAUAAUUUGAAUUGUGAGGUUUGGCAAUUAGUCUUAAUUGUUUAGACACACAUAUGAACUAUCGAAGGCAAAGGUGUAUAAGUUCAAGAAGCCUUGAUAAAAGAUUAUCAAAGCACUAAGUAUUAGAAACAUGAACUUAAGAAAUUCAAUAAGCAUUGUUUUUCUGAAAGUUAAGAUGUUUAUGAAUACAUGUCGAAGCUAGUGGGAGCAUAAGUGUUAUGUUUUAUAAUAAUCAUCAUGAUAGUGGGAGCAUAAAUGUUAUGAUUGUAUGAUUAUUAAGGAAAGUAUUGCAAGGUUAGCAAUAUUAAUUAUAGAAAACAAGAGUCAUACUUUGCAAAGUUGUAAGAGUUGAAAGGUUGUUUUGCUAUAAUUAAGGGAGAGAAUAUUAUGCUUCAUUUCAAAUCUAAAGGAUUAGGUUGAGAAAUGUUAAUAAAUUUAGUCAAAGGUACAUAGUGUGUUCUUAAAAUUUCGAUUAUGAUUACGGCAUUCCUCUUCACAAUUCGAAUUUUGAGAACAUAGCAAAUAAAACAUUAUGCGUCGUGUCCCAUACGCUUCGGGUAUAGGAUCGAUUGCAAAUGCUUUAAUGUUUGACCAUUCUAAAAUUUUCCAAAUGUCUAGCGCAUUUAGAGGGAAAAAGGACUAGAAUCGGUUUUGACUAAAAUAAUUAAACAACUAUCAAAGGACAAUCCAAAGUUCGACGAGGAUUGGUCGCUUGUGAGUAGUUGGAAGUAUAGUAUUGGAAAAUAUGGAAAUGUUUCCAUAUUGGAUGGACCAUAUCGACAUCAUUACGAAUAGAUAAGAUUCUAUUAAGAAUGAGUUGUCAUAUGGAAAAUAUGGAAACGUGUCCAUAUUGGGAAUUGAAUAUUGAAAAUCUAUGUCUAGAUUAGAAACUUUUAUGCAAAAGGAUGUUCAAAGGAAUGUACUUUGAGUGAGAGACAUCAUAUCUAAGGAAUUGUCUUGUAACAAUCUCCGAUAGAGGACUUUGUAAUAUCAUUGGCAAUAGUCUUUGUGACUUUGGUGCAGUGACAUUACGAAAGGAUAGUUGCAUAGAAUGUUAGAAUCUAGCAUAUUCUAUAAGUAACAAGAAUUUGAUAUUCUUUAACUUAUGAAAAACGGAUUUGGAGUUGUGAAAUGAGAAGGAUUGGAAAUGUGUUCAAUGUGAUCUAUUUCACAAAGUAAGAACCAUAGGUAAACAUUGUGUGCAUGCUAGGAGCAUGGGACAAGUGUUGGAAUUCAAGUAAGAAGUUGAUUACCCGAAACGACAAAUAAUGAGUAAUCAAUAUGGUGAUAAAUAAAAGGCGUUUUAUUUAUACUCAAAGGUUUGAGGCCAUAUGGGAUUAGUAUUAUUCUUGUGUUUCACAUUUGCAUGUUUUGACUUCCAGAAUAAUUGAGUUUAUUAAGAAUAAUCGAAUUAUUCGAACGGGCCACAGUUGUUCAUAUGUUGGAAGUAGAUAUGAAUGAAGACUGUCGUGAAUUGGUGUGUGGAUUGUCUAAAGAGUAUUAGACAUAAGCAAAUGUUUGCUGCAACGUUCAUGAGUGCUUAUGAAUAUGAUUUGAGCAUUGGAUUAAACCCACGCUCACUUGGAUCACUCCAUGAAUUGUAUCACGAGUGAUUGGUGAGACGAUAACAUCUUAUAUUCUUGAAACCGAGAUGUGUGAGUUGUAUCUUGCAAAUCGGUUGCACAUUGAUAAUAUGUAAAUGCACUAGUAACUUGGUGUUAUAAAACAUAUUGUUGUGUGUG
rnacentral:lncRNA from 1 species